rnacentral:rRNA from 1 species
GCAGCGAUGCCGCGUGAGUGAAGAAGGCCCUUGGGUUGUAAAGCUCUUUCGUCGGGGAAGAAAAUGACUGUACCCGAAUAAGAAGGUCCGGCUAACUUCGUGCCAGCAGCCGCGGUAAUACGAAGGGACCUAGCGUAGUUCGGAAUUACUGGGCUUAAAGAGUUCGUAGGUGGUUGAAAAAGUUAGUGGUGAAAUCCCAGAGCUUAACUCUGGAACUGCCAUUAAAACUUUUCAGCUAGAGUAUGAUAGAGGAAAGCAGAAUUUCUAGUGUAGAGGUGAAAUUCGUAGAUAUUAGAAAGAAUACCAAUUGCGAAGGCAGCUUUCUGGAUCAUUACUGACACUGAGGAACGAAAGCAUGGGUAGCGAAGAGGAUUAGAUACCCUCGUAGUCCAUGCCGUAAACGAUGUGUGUUAGACGUUGGAAAUUUAUUUUCAGUGUCGCAGGGAAACCGAUAAACACACCGCCUGGGGAGUACGACCGCAAGGUUAAAACUCAAAUGAAUUGACGGGGACCCGCACAAGUAGUGGAGCAUGUGGUUUAAUUCGAAGAUACGCGCAGAACCUUACCAACACUUGACAUGUUCGUCGCGACUCUAAGAGAUUAGAGUUUUCGGUUCGGCCGGACGAAACACAGGUGCUGCAUGGCUGUCGUCAGCUCGUGUCGUGAGAUGUUGGGUUAAGUCCCGCAACGAGCGCAACCCUCACUUUUAGUUGCCAUCAUUAAGUUGGGCACUCUGAAAGAACUGCCAGUGAUAAGCUGGA